rnacentral:lncRNA from 1 species
GUAAACCAAGAUGGCGUCACGCGAAGAAGCAGUUACCGUUAAUUUACAGAGGAAGCAUUUUUGAGCAUUCCAGGACCCAAAAAAUAAUCUACCACAUCACACCAAAUAACACGUAAACCUAAACUCCCACUAGCACAGUGAAAACAGGAACCAUAUGAUGACUACACAGCCUACAUAAAGCAGAAACUACGUACUCUGCGGUUCACUUCCCAGAACCCGGAGGACAGCGAGUCUGCCUGCCUCCAUGUCGAGGGUCGGGAUUCACUGGCUGCUCUGGCUGCUGUGGUUGAUGUGGAAGGCUUGAGAGAGGACAUGAUGCUUGACUGCUUAGCCUCCAUAAUGGCUUGCUGCCAAACACUCAACGUACUUUCAAAAAGCAAAUCAUCUUUGGAUUUAUUUCGGUUAUGGAAAACAGGGUCCUGGAUGAAUACUUCAUUGCAACAAACUUGGCUUCAAACCAGAAAGACAUUGAGUCAAGAAGAUAAUAAAAAUAAUGCCUGCCUUCCUCCCGUGGACACCACUGCUGGGGCUGUGUGCUUAGCUGAAUUUACAGGAAUGGACAUGGGGGAGCAGCAGAAUGCAAAGGACCAUCACUGGAUCCUGAAAAAGCUCAGUAGCUGAGUCCAGGAAAUGGAUGUACUCUUUCUCCACCAUCUCUUCAAUCACACUCAUGAAUAGGACAGCUUUUGCUCCCUUUGGAAUCAUCUACUCAGGAUCAAAAAUUCCAGUUUGGGAAGUUUUUUUGGUUUUGUUUUGUUUGUUUUGUUUUUGAGGCAAGAUGAAGAAUAGCUUCAUCACUGCAAGGAUCCAUCCUGCUACCCUCUUACAGCCACAUCCACUUGCCUUCUCCCUUCCCCACCCAGAAUCUCUGGGAACCACCAAGCUGUUCUUCUCUACAAUUCCGUCAUUUCAUGAAUGUUAUCUAAAUAGAAUCAUAUGAUGUGUAAUCCCCUGCAAUUAGCUUUGUUUUUUCAGUCAGCAGUAAUUCCCUUGAAAUUCAUUAAAGUUAUUAUGGUAUCAGCAGUCUAUUCAUUUUUAUUGCUGAAGAGAAUUCCAUGGUUUAGAUGUCCCACUGUUUGUUUACCCAUUCACAUGUUGAAGGGCAUCUGGGCUGCUUUUGGUUGCUGGCUGUUGUGAAUAAAGCAGUUAUGAAC